rnacentral:lncRNA from 1 species
AACACAGGUAUUAAUAGUCUUGAAAACCACUGCAUUACCUUAGAGAUCACAGGAAUUCUCUACCCACAUCAACCUUUAAAAUGAAAGAUAACAUUUGCCUUUGCCUAAAGUUGGGGGUGAGGAGAAAGAAAAGACCCUAAAGAUAUGAGGGGGCCCAGUAAGCUGUCAAUGACAUAAAUAGCGAUUGUGUUUUGGUCUGGAAUGACACUGCCAUAAAGCCUUUAUAGUAAUGAAUUGGGGUGGAGGGACAGCUUAAAAUGGAAACCAUAAGUAUGCUCUAAGGAAUAGAGACACAGAUCAGCUCAGUAGAUCCUGGUGGAAGUAAUGACAAUAGUCCGGUUUGACGAAUAUGGCUUUAAACAUGUCCCAGCAGGACAGCCAACUUAGGAACACAGGUUCCAGUAUCCAGCUGCAUUAUUUCAAAGAGCAGUCUGGGAAGAAAUAUAGAGAUGUUUAAACCUGGGGACUAAGCUUUACAUAAUUUAAAUGUGCUAUGGACAGCCACACCUGUGCAAUUGGCAAUUUCUGUUCACAGCUACAGUUUUAGUAAUUAGAAUUAAUUCUAACCUCAGCAAGAUGUGGUUUGUAUACAGCAAUUUUGUUUUUCAUGCCUGAGCAUGGCUUUGAAAAGUUCCUGCACUUCAGUCUGUUACUUGAUCAUUUAAGAUGAUAUCACACGACAAAGCAUAAUAUGGAAAGAGUGACAAUAACACCUUUAUAAAAAAUAUUCGAGUAAAAAAUGCCUUCAAACUUAGAUGUUUCUCAUUUACAUACAGAAUUUUAGAGAAGUUCCUAAGAAUGGAUCAUGGUAGGUUAUCAUGGGCAAUUUCUAGACAGAGUAUAUUUUGAUGGCACAAAUUGGGACUGCACAUUAAUCAUUAAGCAAAAUUGUUACCCUAGUAAAUUAAUUAAAUAUCUAUCCAUAAAAUCUGUUUCAGAAACUUAAUGCUUAUCAGAGUACCCCCUGAAAUGGUGACUGGAGUUGUGAUGUUUUAGCUAGGGCUUAAUCAGGUGACUCCCUAUAUAAAUACAGCAUUCAUUUUAGAAUUGCUGAUGCCAAGUAGAAAAACAUGAGCUGAGAAAUAUUGGAACGUGCUGUGAUACGAUUAAAGCAGCCUGGACUGAAGGGUAUUCUGGAAUCAAAUUAAAAUGGCACUAGUGGAGGCAGGUCUGCGCUGGAAAAAUUAAAGCAGAACAUUCUUCCUCUUCAAUGCAAGAAGCUGCAGGGGAAAAGCAGGAGAAAGGGCUGUGCUAGCAUCUUGCCAACAAGAAUGAUUUUUCAGUAUUAAUAUCUUCAGAAAACAUAAAUGCCAUCUUCAGCUAAUUCAUUGCCCACCUGGCUCAACAUCAUCUUAAAUGAUCAAGUUGCUAGAUCAGCCUGUGUAUAAGAAAGAGCCUUGGGAAAAGGAUCUUGUCUUGUCUUUUUUCUUUUUCCUUUUUUAGGGCUGCACUCAUGGCCAAUGGAAAUUUCCGGGAUAGGGGUCAAAUUGGAGCUUCCGCUGCCAGCCUACACCACAGCCACAGCAAUGUGGGAUCCAAGCCAUGUCUGGGAACUACACCAUAGCUCACAGCAAUGCCAUACCUACAACCAAUUGAGUGAGGCCAGGGAUUGAAUCCACCUCCUCAUGGAUACUAGCCAGAUUCAUUUCCACUGGGCCACAACAGGAACUCCCAGGAUUCUAGUCCUUUUAAUUCAAGUCAAGCAUGUUUGGGCUACAACUUAGUAAAUCCAUUUGUCCAAGCAAAUUGCAAAGCACUGAUCAUUGUGUAUUUUCUUCUCAAUCCUUUGGAAUAUCCAGGAUAUAUGUUAUAUAACUAGCUUUUGGCAAGAGCAAAUUGCAAAGAACUGAUCAUUGUGUAUUUUCUUAAUCCUUCAGAAUAUCCAGGAUAUAUGUUAUAUAACUAGCUUCCAAUUCUGGGUGAUUGAUCCUAAAAUGAUGAUCUCAAGUUUGGGAGGGGAGAUCCUCUAACCUUUAUGCAUACACUACCACCCCUCUGUAGUAAAGAUAUAGAUGUCUUUGUUGAUUGUCUAGACUUUUUUUAAGUAACAGAGAAAAUAAUAAUAAUGAACUUUAAAUGUGUGUGUCAUUCUAUAGUUGUCACAUCAGUAAGUGCAAAUAGUUGAAGAAAUAUAUUUUUGAAACUAUUCAAAAUUAUCUGGUUCAACAAUGACAUUUCUCUUGUCCUUGAUAAAAGGAUGUAUUUCUGACAUACGUCCCCAUUGUUUUACUUUCAUUUUUCUCUUUAAUGCAAAGAAAAUGUCAGCCAAUAUUCAUGUUGAAAUUGCCUUUAUCUAUCAGUUGCAACAAUAAGAUUCUCUACAGAUAAAAUAAUUUUUAAAAAAUCAAUUAAAAUAUUCUAUGAGAAUCAAAUGGCUUUGUGGAAUUUACAAUAAAGAGUAUGUUUAUGUUAAUAUUAUUUGUAAAUUGUAUGCUACGUAUGCCUUAUAACAAUAAAUUCAUGGUAAGCAUGGUUGUGUGCGCGUGUGUGUGUGCAUGUGCUUGUAUAUGUGUUAAGAGCCAGUUGCUAGAUGCUUAUCACAAACCCACUGAGAACUGAGGAUAGGGAAGAUUGGAUCAAAAGUAAAUCCCCAAAGACAAAGAAAAUAAAGCCAGAAAUGGCCAGAUUUCCAUAUUUAAAAUGUGGAAGAACAGAUGGAGAUCUGUGUCACAGAAAAAUCUAAAAAUGAAAGAACUAACAGAUGCUGGUCAAAGCAGGUAGAAUUGACCAGUGGUCUAUAUUUUUUGAGAACAUCUGUAAUUUCUGCUUACAUUUUUCUCUCUUCAGGUAAACUAGUAACUAAAGAACUAAUAUUCAUUAGGUAAUCAGUAUAUAUCAGAUUCUAAACACACGGCAUGGGGCAUCCAUUGGGACCACGAAAACCCAAGAAGUCAGUACGAUUGUCCCCAUUUUUUCGGAUGGAAAAUAGAGCAUCAGUAUAACAUAAGGUAAGUUUUUCAAGGACACAAGCUACUAAGUCUCUCUCCACUACCCAGUCUCUUAAACUCUCUCUUGGUAGGUGUUCCAGGAAAAAAGUGCUUAUCAUUUCCACUGGAAAAAAAAAAGUCUCCUUAAUUUGAGUCAAAUUGUCCAGAACUUUAAUUUACCUUUCUAGCCUUUAUCCACCACAGUUGACUCUUUAGCAAGCUAUUUCUCUGUCCAUUUCACCUAACAUUUCACAAAAAUGUCUUGUUUUCUGUUUGCCUUUUUUUUUAAGUACUCUUCUAAAUAACUUGUCUUCACAAAUCUCAGUUUCAAAUUCUACCCAUCAUUUAGGGUUCAACUUUUUUUUUUUGUCCUUUUAGGGCCGAACCUGUGGCAUAUGGAGGUUCCCAGGCUAGGGGUCAAAUCAGAGCUGUAGCCACUGGCCUAUGCCACAGAUCCAAGCUGUGUCUGCAACAUAUAUCACAGCUCACCGCAACUCCAGAUCCUUUAACACAGUGAGCAGGGACUGAACCUGUGUUCUCAUGGAUACUACUCAGGUUUUUUACCACUGAGCCAUGAUGGGAACUCCUAGGGUUCAAUUUAAAUGCAGUCUGCUCUGUGGAUUCCUCAGUUUUCCUGGCUUGGAAAAAAAAAAAAAAUCCUCUACUCUCCUUAUUAAAACCACCUUAUCUGCAUCUCUCCUAUAGUACAUAACCAUUUGCGAUAUUGAAUUAGGUACCCUUUCUCAAGAUACAAUCUGGAAGAACUAUCCUCACUUGGUCCUACCAUGACAAUAUCUACUAGCAUAUCACAGAUCUGGAGACGUCUACAGAAAUAUUCUUUAACUUUAUUUUUCCUAAUUUACUCCCAUUUACUUUACUUUGCAACCCAUUUUUGCCAAACGCCCAUUAAUAAUACAUGGCUCCAGUGUUCCAAAGGGGCCACAAUUCAGAGAAUACUGGAAUUUCUUAGGGCCCUCCUUGAUCAUGGAUGCAGGGAUACAAGACCAGGUUUUAUCUUUAUAUCACUCAAUGACUUACCUAUUGUUUUGUACAUAGGAACUGAGAAAAAAAUAAUUGAUUGAAUGAAUGAAUAUGAAUAACUGGUUUUAUACUUGAGUAAAGAGGACCUAAGUGGUCACGGAGUAUAAUCUCUGGAUGCCCUUUCAUAAGGCUUGCUUUUGGAAGCUCUCAUUUUUAAGUAUCCAACUGGGUAGCAUCCAAAGUUGGGCCAAAGGUUAGUCUAAGCAGCAAGUGACAGAGGACAUCACAAGGCAUGUGGCUGAGUCCUCCUCAGCCUACUGCACAAGUAGGGGAAAAUAAUAGUGAUGAUUUAGGAAACAUCAAUAUGGCCUGCCAUUAUUUAAAAUUCUCCUCUGCACUGCCUUGACAGAAGACUGACAUGUUUAUAGAGGUCCUUUGUUUUGGUUUAAGCCUCUUCCCUAUGACUGCUAAUUGCAGUCUUCCUGGUAGGAGUUCAUCAUGUAUACCUAAAAAUUUUAUCCUAUGGUCCUCUUUUUUCAGCUUGGAGAGAGAGGACCACAGGAGAAAAUGAGUGCCUUCCAUGGAAAGGCUCCUGGGUCAGGGGAGGAUUCAGAAGAAAGUCACCAAAGGACUACUUUAUUUAAUGUCACAAAUAUCCCAAAUGUGUAUCUGGUAUGUGCGUUUGUGAAUUUGUGGAGACCUAUGUGUAAAAGGAUUUUCUCCUCUUGAAAGCUGUUUUUCUUCCAUCCACAAAAAUAACCAUGAAAAUAUUUAAAAAUUAGAAUAAAAAUCAUGUUAGUAACAAAACUAUUUUCCAUUUACCUUGACCCAAAGCUGCCAAGAGAAAAUCUCAGUGGAGAAGUUUGAAAACUGCAGACACAGUGUACCUGAGUUGCAUGGCCUAGCAAAAAUGAUGGAAAGAUGCAUCUUCAUUACCAAUUACAGGCUGCCUGCUGUGUUCCUUGAAAAAUGAUCAAAUCUGCUCCCUUCUAAAAGCAAGUCACUGAUGCAUGCUCCUCCCCUGCCCACCCACCUGGAGCCUCUUCUCUCUUGCCGAGUGCCCACAUACAAUAUGCCCCACUGUGAUUUAUGGUUUAGAAAGAAGGGGAUUGCUGGAUGAGGUGUACACAAAAACAGAAGGGAACCUAGACGAAUCAACAACGACAAGAAAGGAGAAGGAGUGAACAGGAACAAAAAAAAAAAAAAAAAAAAAAACCAACUAUUAAAUAAUUCACAACAAUUGCCCAAAGGAAAACAGACACUGAAUUGGAAUGGAGGAAAUAAAUAGAUUAAGGUAUACAACAGGAGGAAAAAAUAGAAUGGAAAGAAGAAGAUGAAAGAGUUCACCCAAGGGAGAAAAGCAAGACAGCAUUUCUGGGUCCUGGCAGGAAUAAUAAUAAUGAUAU